AUACAGACUGGGCUGCGCAAGAGUUCACAACUUCUACCCUGGCUUCUGUACUGGAGCAGCAGACGUGAAGACAAGUUGCAAGCCUAGUGUAAAAUAGGGAAACAGUCACCACCACCACCCUGUGCUGGCAGCUGUUUGCAGUCCUCCAGUUUGGGGCUUUGUCCGAGAGAUGCAACCUUCACAGCAAGAUGGGACCGGAGAAGAAAUCUGUCUCGUCGUGGCUCAGUAAAGUCUCAAAGGGCUCUCCCAGAAGCCACCUUGAGAAGGGUCCCUCAAGUUAAGGACUAAACCUUCCUGUGGACUAGAAGACACACAACAAUCACAAGUUUUGUUUCUAGUGGUCAGCCGGCAUUGAUCUGGAUGUGUCUCUGUGAUUUGAAUUUAGAAUGCCAAUACAGGGCUCGUGUGUUUGAACAGUUAGUUCCUGCCUGGUGGCACUGCUUUGGAAGAUUGUGGAAACUUUAGUAGGAGACAGAGGGAGUGCUUCACUGAGACCUGCCUUGAGAACUUGUAGACCAGCCCCACUCUAUGGCUUGAUGGUAGACUCAGUGUGGCUGGUCUCCUCACGCCCCUGCUGCCAAGACUUCUCCAUUCAUGGACUAUAUCUCUUUAAACUGUUCUGUAUAAUGAUUCUUGAAUGCACCCCUAUAAAAAAGUAAACACUAUCGCUGAGGAUGGGGAGUUGACUCAUCUAAGCACUGACUGCUCUU
rnacentral:lncRNA from 1 species